rnacentral:rRNA from 1 species
AGCCUUAAGGAGUUAUUUAAGGUUUUAUCUGCCCAGUGUAAAAAAAUCAACGGCCGCGGUACUUUGACCGUGCUAAGGUAGCGCAAUCAAUUGGUCUUUAAAUGAGGCCAGGUAUGAAUGGGGAAACAAGGUUAAGCUGUCUUUGAGUUAUUUUAUUGAAGUUACUUUGGAGGUGAAAAAGCCUCUAAAACGAGAAAGGACGAGAAGACCCUUAGAGUUUGACUUAAGAAAGUAUUAACUUUAAUAGUUUUGUUGGGGCAACGUAAGAACAUUAAAACUUCUUAAAAAAUACUAACCGAUUUUUAUAAAUAUGGAGAAACUACCUUAGGGAUAACAGCAUAAUUUUACAGUUAAGUUUAUGACCUCGAUGUUGGACUAGGAACCCAAAAGGCUAGCCGCUUUUUGGUGAAGUUCUGUUCGAACUAAAAUUCCU